GGUAGAAUUUCUGGGUAAUGUGGUAAUUCUGUUUUUCAGUUUUUGAAGAAUUGUCAAAAUUUUCCAUAGAAACUUCACCAUUUAACAUUCUUAUCAGCAAU
rnacentral:pre_miRNA from 1 species